GAGACAGAGGUUGUUCGGAUG
rnacentral:miRNA from 1 species